UACGAAGGGGGCUAGCGUUGCUCGGAAUCACUGGGCGUAAAGGGUGCGUAGGCGGGUCUUUAAGUCAGGGGUGAAAUCCUGGAGCUCAACUCCAGAACUGCCUUUGAUGCUGAAGAUCUUGAGUCCGGAAGAGGCGAGUGGAAUUCCCGGUGUAGCGGUGAAAUGCGCAGAUAUCAGGAAGAACACCCGUGGCGAAGGCGGCUCUCUGGGACGGUACUGACGCUGAGACGCGAAAGCGUGGGGAGCGAACAGG
rnacentral:rRNA from 1 species